AUUGAACGCUGGCGGCGGGCUUAACACAUGCAAGUCGAGCGGAGAUGAGGUGCUUGCACCUUCUCCUAGCGGCGGACGGGUGAGUAAUGCUUAGGAAUCUGCCUAUUAGUGGGGGACAACAUUCCGAAAGGAAUGCUAAUACCGCAUACGUCCUACGGGAGAAAGCAGGGGAUCUUCGGACCUUGCGCUAAUAGAUGAGCCCAAGUCGGAUUAGCUAGUUGGUGGGGUAAAGGCCUACCGAGGCGACGAUCUGUAGCGGGUCUGAGAGGAUGGUCCGCCACACUGGGACUGAGACACGGCCCAGACUCCUACGGGAGGCAGCAGUGGGGAAUAUUGGACAAUGGGGGGAACCCUGAUCCAGCCAUGCCGCGUGUGUGAAGAAGGCCUUAUGGUUGUGAAGCACUUUAAGCGAGGAGGAGGCUACUGAGACUAAUACUCUUGGAUAGUGGACGUUACUCGCAGAAUAAGCACCGGCUAACUCUGUGCCAGCCGCCGCCGUAAAAC
rnacentral:rRNA from 1 species